GAGAAAUGUGAGAUUAAAGAGAUGUCUCCAACUCAGAGUGGUCGGCGGCUCGUAUCCCUUUUUCCUUGUUGCCUGAUGUUUGUCCAACUUUCGUAAGAGGAGUCUCCAGGGAGACUUUGAAGCGGAUUCAAGAUGAGAUGGCGGAGGUGAGAGCAGAGCCAAGAGACGUCAAUAACCCAUCUGUUGCUUGAUUUUACGCUUUCUGGGAUUCUUACUGGGAAGAUUGAUGCCUUAACGGCCAAUUCAAGAUACAUCAGGGAUUAGAUUCUGAGGCAAGCGAGAGCAUCCAUAUAUCCGAUGGGGAUAGGUUGGUUUGUAUUGUUGUGCAGAGAAAGUAAAGAGAUGCUUCUUUUAAUUUGAAUGAUUCGUAAUGAUAAUAGUAAAUAAUGCUAAAGACAGGCUCUCUCUCUCUCGAAA